UAGAGAUAGAAAGUUACUUCGGUACAUCGGUGACAGGUGGUGCAUGGUUGUCGUCAGCUCGUGUCGUGAGAUGUUGGGUUAAGUCCCGCAACGAGCGCAACCCCUAUUGUUAGUUGCCAUCAUUCAGUUGGGCACUCUAGCGAGACUGCCGGUAAUAAACCGGAGGAAGGUGGGGAUGACGUCAAAUCAUCAUGCCCCUUAUGACCUGGGCUACACACGUGCUACAAUGGUUGGUACAACGAGUUGCGAGUCGGUGACGGCGAGCUAAUCUCUUAAAGCCAAUCUCAGUUCGGAUUGUAGGCUGCAACUCGCCUACAUGAAGUCGGAAUCGCUAGUAAUCGCGGAUCAGCACGCCGCGGUGAAUACGUUCCCGGGCCUU
rnacentral:rRNA from 1 species